rnacentral:tRNA from 1 species
CGAGUUGUGGCUCAGUGGUAGAGUACUUGCCUAGCAUGCAUGAGGCACUGGGUUUGAUUCUCAGCACCACAU